CGAGCCCGGGCGGAGCGGC
rnacentral:snRNA from 1 species